rnacentral:rRNA from 1 species
GACGAACGCUGGCGGCGUGCCUAACACAUGCAAGUCGAACGGAGCAGAUCCCUUCGGGGGUUUGCUCAGUGGCGAACGGGUGAGUAACGCGUGAGGAACCUGCCUUUCAGUGGGGGACAACAGUUGGAAACGACUGCUAAUACCGCAUAAUGCUUUUGAGCGGCAUCGCUUGAAAGCCAAAGAUUUAUCGCUGAAAGAUGGUCUCGCGCCUGAUUAGCUAGUUGGUGAGGUAACGGCUCACCAAAGCGACGAUCAGUAGCCGGCCUGAGAGGGCGACCGGCCACAUUGGGACUGAGACACGGCCCAA